rnacentral:rRNA from 1 species
GAUCCUGGCUCAGGAUGAACGCUAGCUACAGGCUUAACACAUGCAAGUCGAGGGGCAGCGAGAGGAAAGCUUGCUUCCUGUCGGCGACCGGCGCACGGGUGAGUAACGCGUAUCCAACCUUCCCCAUAGUAGAGGAUAGCCCGGCGAAAGUCGGAUUAAUACCCUAUGUUAUUCGUAGAGGACAUCUGAAAUGAAUCAAAGAUUUAUCGCUAAGGGAUGGGGAUGCGUCUGAUUAGGUUGUUGGCGGGGUAACGGCCCACCAAGCCAUCGAUCAGUAGGGGUUCUGAGAGGAAGGUCCCCCACAUUGGAACUGAGACACGGUCCAAACUCCUACGGGAGGCAGCAGUGAGGAAUAUUGGUCAAUGGACGAGAGUCUGAACCAGCCAAGUAGCGUGCAGGAUGACGGCCCUAUGGGUUGUAAACUGCUUUUAUAUAGGGAUAAAGUUCGCCACGUGUGGUGUUUUGUAGGUACUAUAUGAAUAAGGACCGGCUAAUUCCGUGCCAGCCGCCGC